rnacentral:rRNA from 1 species
AGAUUAAGUUAUUAAGGGCGCACGGUGGAUGCCUUGGCACUAGAAGCCGAUGAAGGACGUUACUAACGACGAUAUGCUUUGGGUAGCUGUAAGUAAGCGUUGAUCCAGAGAUUUCCGAAUGGGGGAACCCAGCAUGAGUUAUGUCAUGUUAUCGACAUGUGAAUUCAUAGCAUGUCAGAAGGCAGACCCGGAGAACUGAAACAUCUUAGUACCCGGAGGAAGAGAAAGAAAAAUCGAUUCCCUGAGUAGCGGCGAGCGAAACGGGAAGAGCCCAAACCAACAAGCUUGCUUGUUGGGGUUGUAGGACACUCUAUACGGAGUUACAAAAGAACAUGUUAGACGAAUCAUCUGGAAAGAUGAAUCAAAGAAGGUAAUAAUCCUGUAGUCGAAAACAUAUUCUCUCUUGAGUGGAUCCUGAGUACGACGGAGCACGUGAAAUUCCGUCGGAAUCUGGGAGGACCAUCUCCUAAGGCUAAAUACUCUCUAGUGACCGAUAGUGAACCAGUACCGUGAGGGAAAGGUGAAAAGUACCCCGGAAGGGGAGUGAAAGAGAACUUGAAACCGUGUGCUUACAAGUAGUCAGAGCCCGUUAAUGGGUGAUGGCGUGCCUUUUGUAGAAUGAACCGGCGAGUUACGAUCUGAUGCAAGGUUAAGCAGCAAAUGUGGAGCCGCAGCGAAAGCGAGUCUGAAUAGGGCGUUGAGUAUUUGGUCGUAGACCCGAAACCAGGUGAUCUACCCUUGGUCAGGUUGAAGUUCAGGUAACACUGAAUGGAGGACCGAACCGACUUACGUUGAAAAGUGAGCGGAUGAACUGAGGGUAGCGGAGAAAUUCCAAUCGAACUUGGAGAUAGCUGGUUCUCUCCGAAAUAGCUUUAGGGCUAGCCUCAAGUGAUGAUUAUUGGAGGUAGAGCACUGUUUGGACGAGGGGCCCCUCUCGGGUUACCGAAUUCAGACAAACUCCGAAUGCCAAUUAAUUUAACUUGGGAGUCAGAACAUGGGUGAUAAGGUCCGUGUUCGAAAGGGAAACAGCCCAGACCACCAGCUAAGGUCCCAAAAUAUAUGUUAAGUGGAAAAGGAUGUGGCGUUGCCCAGACAACUAGGAUGUUGGCUUAGAAGCAGCCAUCAUUUAAAGAGUGCGUAAUAGCUCACUAGUCGAGUGACACUGCGCCGAAAAUGUACCGGGGCUAAACAUAUUACCGAAGCUGUGGAUUGUCCUUUGGACAAUGGUAGGAGAGCGUUCUAAGGGCGUCGAAGCAUGAUCGCAAGGACAUGUGGAGCACUUAGAAGUGAGAAUGCCGGUGUGAGUAGCGAAAGACGGGUGAGAAUCCCGUCCACCGAUUGACUAAGGUUUCCAGAGGAAGGCUCGUCCGCUCUGGGUUAGUCGGGUCCUAAGCUGAGGCCGACAGGCGUAGGCGAUGGAUAACAGGUUGAUAUUCCUGUACCACCUAGUAUCGUUUUAAUCGAUGGGGGGGACGCAGUAGGAUAGGCGAAGCGUGCUGUUGGAGUGCACGUCCAAGCAGUAAGGCUGAGUGUUAGGCAAAUCCGGCACUCAUAAGGCUGAGCUGUGAUGGGGAGAGGAAAUUGUUUCCUCGAGUCGUUGAUUUCACACUGCCGAGAAAAGCCUCUAGAUAGAUAACAGGUGCCCGUACCGCAAACCGACACAGGUAGUCAAGAUGAGAAUUCUAAGGUGAGCGAGCGAACUCUCGUUAAGGAACUCGGCAAAAUGACCCCGUAACUUCGGGAGAAGGGGUGCUCUUUAGGGUUCACGCCCAGAAGAGCCGCAGUGAAUAGGCCCAAGCGACUGUUUAUCAAAAACACAGGUCUCUGCUAAACCGUAAGGUGAUGUAUAGGGGCUGACGCCUGCCCGGUGCUGGAAGGUUAAGAGGAGUGGUUAGCUUCUGCGAAGCUACGAAUCGAAGCCCCAGUAAACGGCGGCCGUAACUAUAACGGUCCUAAGGUAGCGAAAUUCCUUGUCGGGUAAGUUCCGACCCGCACGAAAGGCGUAACGAUUUGGGCACUGUCUCAACGAGAGACUCGGUGAAAUCAUAGUACCUGUGAAGAUGCAGGUUACCCGCGACAGGACGGAAAGACCCCGUGGAGCUUUACUGUAGCCUGAUAUUGAAAUUCGGCACAGCUUGUACAGGAUAGGUAGGAGCCUUUGAAACGUGAGCGCUAGCUUACGUGGAGGCGUUGGUGGGAUACUACCCUAGCUGUGUUGGCUUUCUAACCCGCACCACUUAUCGUGGUGGGAGACAGUGUCAGGCGGGCAGUUUGACUGGGGCGGUCGCCUCCUAAAAGGUAACGGAGGCGCUCAAAGGUUCCCUCAGAAUGGUUGGAAAUCAUUCAUAGAGUGUAAAGGCAUAAGGGAGCUUGACUGCGAGACCUACAAGUCGAGCAGGGUCGAAAGACGGACUUAGUGAUCCGGUGGUUCCGCAUGGAAGGGCCAUCGCUCAACGGAUAAAAGCUACCCCGGGGAUAACAGGCUUAUCUCCCCCAAGAGUUCACAUCGACGGGGAGGUUUGGCACCUCGAUGUCGGCUCAUCGCAUCCUGGGGCUGUAGUCGGUCCCAAGGGUUGGGCUGUUCGCCCAUUAAAGCGGUACGCGAGCUGGGUUCAGAACGUCGUGAGACAGUUCGGUCCCUAUCCGUCGUGGGCGUAGGAAAUUUGAGAGGAGCUGUCCUUAGUACGAGAGGACCGGGAUGGACAUACCUCUGGUGUACCAGUUGUCGUGCCAACGGCAUAGCUGGGUAGCUAUGUAUGGACGGGAUAAGUGCUGAAAGCAUCUAAGCAUGAAGCCCCCCUCAAGAUGAGAUUUCCCAACUUCGGUUAUAAGAUCCCUCGAAGAUGACGAGGUUAAUAGGUUCGAGGUGGAAGCGUGGUGACACGUGGAGCUGACGAAUACUAAUCGAUCGAAGACUUAAUCAAUUUUUAAA